UCUCACUGCAACUCCUUUAAGAGUAACCAAAAACACAUCAGGGUUGUUUGCAGGUCCCAUUUUACAGAGUCUGAUCUCCUGUGCCUGGUUUCCAUUUCCUGUCACAGGACUCAGCAAACUUUGGGGGAGUUGUUGCCAGACCUGGGCUUGCUCCCAUAUAAAUUCCUGAAGACUCUUUUGCUGUUAAACCUAUCAGGCUUUCUAUCCAAGUAUUAGAGUCUGUGCUUUUCAAGGGUGGGAAUGAGAGACUGGUGAGAGCACUCAGGGAGCAGAGAACAUGGAGUCUGCUUGAAAACCCUCAGACUCACCAUGAGGGAGUGUGUCUGCUGGUGAGUGUUCUGCUAAGAUCUGGACUAAUAACACCUGAGAUCAUCCAGAGCCUCCUCCCCUGGGUGAAUUCCCCAACAGAAAACCGCCAAGUCACUAGCACAGCUUUCCUUGCCCAGGUCCUAGCACAAUGGGAAUCUGGUCUGUGAGUGGGACUAUGAUGCAGUACUGGAAUACAAAUAAUCACAUGCUGAUCUACAGGAAUACUUUUGUACCCUGGCCAUCCCCACUGGCUUAAGAGAUUAGUUACUGAAAAUGGAAGUAUGUGAACUUGACAUCUGCAGUUUAACUCAGUCCCUUCAUCUCCUGCACUGAGUGUUCUUUCUGCUCAGUACACGCUGUCUGAAUGCACAGGAGAACCGUGAUGGAUGGUG